rnacentral:lncRNA from 1 species
GCAUGCGCGGUGACGUCAUGUCAUAACGUUUAGUGGAUUACCUCUCUCUCUCACACACACACACACACACACACACAGGGACUCUCACAAAUGGCGUCAUAAACACCGGUUUGCUUCCUACCACUCCACCGAUACCCAAUGACAGCUACUCGCGUGCAUCCGUGGCGCGUGGCUUCGACCUAGAGACAGGAUUCUGCUCAGCCCAUCUGUGUUUCAACAGUGAAAGCCAAGCUGGAGUUAUCAGGCAGAAACACAGCACAGGACACUGAAGCUGAGAGUCUGAGUGAGAGCUGUCAGCUGGUCUCUCCUCCCUCAGGGCUCCAUGUACCCUGAACCCAACACGGAUUCCCCUGCUCGUCUCUCCACACGGCAGACUGGAUCCCCCUAUACGUGAGCAGAACCUUCACACUCAAAGAGA